AUGAAGCAUGGUUGUGUCUUCAUUGCGCACUGCCGGAUGAACGACAUGCUGGGACACGCUAUCCCUGAUUUCUGCCGCUUCAGCUUGGAUGAGUCGCCAUCAUGUGGAACCGGACUAGAAAGCUGCGACAAUGAUUCCCGUUACCCACCGCUAUGGAUCGUGCCAUCCAUGAAGAACACCUGGGACUGGAACCUGGAGGAGGACAUAACGUACGCAAAUGCGCUGGCCUUCAUGAUUCCAGGACCUGGAAUCAUACCAGCCGAUGGGAUAGAUACCUUCCUGGGAUCAGUACCAUAUAACUGGAAUUACCAAUGCAAGUCCAAGAAGGAUUGGCCGGUGCUGCCGGCUGGCGUCAAGUACGAUCCCAUGGAUCAGGAGCUGAUCGAGCACCUUGAGGCCAAAGUGAGUGUUGACAGCGCGAGAUUUCAGUCUCUCAUCGAUUUGUUCAUACCAACCAUCGACAGCGAGCACGGCAUAUGCUACACCCAACCUGAGAAACUUCCAGCAAAAAAGGUUCUGGUGCUGCACACCAACAAGAACUUCGACCAGCAGAGGACCAACUGGGUGAUGCACCAGUACCACAUCGGGGACCUGGAGCAAGAGAAGGAGCGGGAGCUGGUCCUCUGCAAGAUUUUCUACCAGACGAACACUAGGGCCAGGAGUAGUUUGGUAUUGGUAGUUGUACUACAUUGUCGUCCGCAAGUUGGUAUUAUUGUUAACGAUCUUUUGGCCCAGCCCAUGACGACAACGGGGCACAAAGAUCCAGCAGGUAUCUACUGGCCUCUGGCCCGCCAGCGUUAG
rnacentral:rRNA from 1 species